rnacentral:rRNA from 1 species
UGGUGGAGUGAUUUGUCUGGUUAAUUCCAUUAACGAACGAGACCGCUGCCUGCUAAAUAGCCCAGUGAGUGAAUUUUCACUGACUGCUGGCUUCUUAGAGGGACGUGCAUUCUAUUAGAUGCAGGAAGAUAGCGGCAAUAACA